GAUGAAGAACGCAGCGAAAUGCGAUACGUAAUGUGAAUUGCAGAAUUCAGUGAAUCAUCGAGUCUUUGAACGCACAUUGCGCCCUCUGGUAUUCCGGAGGGCAUGCCUGUCCGAGCGUCAUUGCUGCCCUCAAGCACGGCUUGUGUGUUGGGCCCCGCCCCCCGAUCCCGGGGGGCGGGCCCGAAAGGCAGCGGCGGCACCGCGUCCGGUCCUCGAGCGUAUGGGGCUUUGUCACCCGCUCUGUAGGCCCGGCCGGCGCUUGCCGAUCAACCAAACUUUUUUCCAGGUUGACCUCGGAUCAGGUAGGGAUACCCGCUGAACUUAAGCAUACAAUAGCGGAGGA
rnacentral:misc_RNA from 1 species